AUAAAAAUGUAGAUGGAGAUUAGUAUAAUGAACUGUCUUUUUUAGAGAGGAAAUGGGUGGUGCAAAUUUCCAAAGACAAACAUUAGAACCUGCUCUGGAGUUCGCUGUCAGAAAGGCUUUUAUGCUGUAAGGUAGCGCGGGUCAAUCCGUUAUCCAAUUGAGUGUGCAAUAUUUUUUGCAAACAAGGGUGGUACCACCAACCUCGGUCCCUUUU
rnacentral:ncRNA from 1 species